CCCUUUCUUGUCCUCAACCGCCUAUAUACCGCCGUCGUCAGCUUACCCUGUAAAGGCCCCAUAGUAAGCAAAAUUGGCACAGCCCUAAACGUCAGGUCGAGGUGUAGCGAAUGAAAGGGAAAGAAAUGGGCUACAUUCCCUAUUCAAGGGAACAACGAAUGUUUUUAUGAAACAACUUUCUGAAGGAGGAUUUAGCAGUAAGUAAGAAGCAGAGAGUCUUACUGAACCCGGCCCCGAAGCGCGCACACACCGCCCGUCACUCUCCCCAAACACCAAAUUUUAGCCCUAACAAAACCACAACAAAAAACAAGGGGAGGCAAGUCGUAACAUGGUAAGCAUACCGGAAGGUGUGCUUGGAAAAAUCAGGCUAUAGCAAAACAGAAAAGCAUCUCUCUUACACUGAGAAGACAUCCGUGCAAAUCAGAUUAGCCUGACGCCCAACAGCUAGCCCCCCGCCCAAACCCAACAACCCCCUAUCAAUAACCCCCUACACCCUAAUAAAAAAAAAUAAACCAUUCUUCCCCCCAAGUAUAGGAGAUAGAAAAGGACCCCCGGAGCUAUAGAAAAAGUACCGCAAGGGAAAGCUGAAACAGAAAUGAAAAAACCCAGUACCUUAAAGCCCAAAAAAGCAAAGACUCACCCUUGUACCUUUUGCAUCAUG
rnacentral:rRNA from 1 species